GUUGAACGCUGGCGGCAGGUUUAACACAUGCAAGUCGAGCGGAGAGAGGUAGCUUGCUACUGAUCUUAGCGGCGGACGGGUGAGUAAUGCUUAGGAAUCUGCCUAUUAGUGGGGGACAACAUUUCGAAAGGAAUGCUAAUACCGCAUACGUCCUACGGGAGAAAGCAGGGGAUCUUCGGACCCUGCGCUAAUAGAUGAGCCUAAGUCGGAUUAGCUAGUUGGUGGGGUAAAGGCCUACCAAGGCGACGAUCUGUAGCGGGUCUGAGAGGAUGAUCCGCCACACUGGGACUGAGACACGGCCCAGACUCCUACGGGAGGCAGCAGUGGGGAAUAUUGGACAAUGAGCGGAAGCCUGCUCCAGCCAUGCCGCGUGUGUGAGGAAGGCCUUAUGGUUGUAAAGCACUUUAAGCGAGGAGGAGGCUACUUUAGUUAAUACCUAGAGAUAGUGGACGUUACUCGCAGAAUAAGCACCGGCUAACUCUGUGCCAGCAGCCGCGGUAA
rnacentral:rRNA from 1 species